UAGAGCAAGGAGUGAGGAGAUGGGUAGGAGUGUGCCAGGCCUCCCUGAUGGUUGGAUGAAGUUCUUGGACACAGUGACUGGGACCUACAGAUACUACCACUCCCCUACAAACCGCGUCCACCUCUACCCUCCCGAGGUCACCGUCCACCAGACCCCACCGUCCACCCCGCCGACCGCCAAACCUCGGUCCCAGAAUGAAUUUCUAAAUUAAUUUAUAAAUUAUACAUUAUUUAAUUAAUAGGGUUUGCCUUAUAAAUGUUACCUCAUGAAUAUGGGGACAAAAAAAAGUUUUUGGGGACAAAAAAAAGUUUAUUUUAAGUUUUACUCCUAUUUUUCAAAGGCUUAAAAAUCAUUAGGAUUAUAAUGUUUUGGUAUGCUUUUCCUUUUGUAAAUGGCUGCUGGAAUAUGGUUAUAAAAUAAUGACUGGAAAAACUGUCUAAACAUGAUGGUAUUGUUAAAAAAAAUUCUUUCAAACUACUUGGAUUUGCCCAUUAUGUGGGGAAUUUCACUACAAAGUGGGAAAAAAUAAAAUAAAUUGAAAUGCAAAU